rnacentral:rRNA from 1 species
GACGAACGCUGGCGGCGUGCUUAACACAUGCAAGUCGAACGGAAAGGCCCUGCUUUUGUGGGGUGCUCGAGUGGCGAACGGGUGAGUAACACGUGAGUAACCUGCCCUUGACUUUGGGAUGACUUCAGGAAACUGGGGCUAAUACCGGAUAGGAGCUCCUGCUGCAUGGUGGGGGUUGGAAAGUUUCGGCGGUUGGGGAUGGACUCGCGGCUUAUCAGCUUGUUGGUGGGGUAGUGGCUUACCAAGGCUUUGACGGGUAGCCGGCCUGAGAGGGUGACCGGCCACAUUGGGACUGAGAUACGGCCCAGACUCCUACGGGAGGCAGCAGUGGGGAAUAUUGCACAAUGGGCGGAAUCCUGAUGCAGCAACGCCGCGUGCGGGAUGACGGCCUUCGGGUUGUAAACCGCUUUCGCCUGUGACGAAGCGUGAGUGACGGUAAUGGGUAAAGAAGCACCGGCUAACUACGUGCCAGCAGCCGCGGUGAUACGUAGGGUGCGAGCGUUGUCCGGAUUUAUUGGGCGUAAAGGGCUCGUAGGUGGUUGAUCGCGUCGGAAGUGUAAUCUUGGGGCUUAACCCUGAGCGUGCUUUCGAUACGGGUUGACUUGAGGGAGGUAGGGGAGAAUGGAAUUCCUGGUGGAGCGGUGGAAUGCGCAGAUAUCAGGAGGAACACCAGUGGCGAAGGCGGUUCUCUGGGCCUUUCCUGACGCUGAGGAGCGAAAGCGUGGGGAGCGAACAGGCUUAGAUACCCUGGUAGUCCACGCUGUAAACGGUGGGUACUAGGUGUGGGGUCCAUUCCACGGGUUCCGUGCCGUAGCUAACGCUUUAAGUACCCCGCCUGGGGAGUACGGCCGCAAGGCUAAAACUCAAAGGAAUUGACGGGGCCCCGCACAAGCGGCGGAGCAUGCGGAUUAAUUCGAUGCAACGCGUAGAACCUUACCUGGGUUUGACAUGGAUCGGGAGUGCUCAGAGAUGGGUGUGCCUCUUUUGGGGUCGGUUCACAGGUGGUGCAUGCCUGUCGUCAGCUCGUGUCGUGAGAUGUUGGGUUAAGUCCCGCAACGAGCGCAACCCUUGUUCACUGUUGCCAGCACGUUAUGGUGGGGACUCAGAGGAGACCGCCGGGGUCAACUCGGAGGAAGGUGGGGAUGACGUCAAGUCAUCAUGCCCCUUAUGUCCAGGGCUUCACGCAUGCUACAAUGGCUGGUACAGAGAGUGGCGAGCCUGUGAGGGUGAGCGAAUCUCGGAAAGCCGGUCUCAGUUCGGAUUGGGGUCUGCAACUCGACCUCAUGAAGUCGGAGUCGUUAGUAAUCGCAGAUCAGCAACGCUGCGGUGAAUACGUUCCCGGG